GCGGAUUUAGCUCAGUCGGGAGAGCGUCAGACUGAAGAUCUGAAGGUCCUGUGUUCGAUCCACAGAAUUCGCA
rnacentral:tRNA from 2 species